rnacentral:rRNA from 1 species
UACGUAGGUGGCAAGCGUUGUCCGGAUUUACUGGGCGUAAAGAGCGCGCAGGCGGUCGUGCAAGUCGCGUGUGAAAGCCCCCGGCUCAACUGGGGAGGGUCACGCGAUACUGCUCGACUUGAAGGCAGGAGAGGGAAGUGGAAUUCCCGGUGUAGUGGUGAAAUGCGUAGAUAUCUGGAGGAACACCGGUGGCGAAAGCGGCUCACUGGAUCGAAACUGACGCUGAGGUGCGAAAGCUAGGGUAGCAAACGGG